rnacentral:misc_RNA from 1 species
GAAAAUUUUGCUUGAGGGAACUCAAAUGUGCUUGACAAAUGAAAGAACAGAGAGACGUUAUAAUAGUAAGAAGACUGGCGAACAAUAAUAGAAUAGUAACUUAGAAGAAAUCAAACACAAACUGAACAAUAAAAGCAGUUUUACAAGGCACCAGAGCCGGCACCAAUGGACCAAUUUGUUUUCCACAAGUGCUAAUGUACAUUAUAAUCUCGCGCAUAUCAACAAGAAUGGCUAAAAAGAGGCCAAAUCAUUUGCAAGAC